UCCUACGGGAGGCAGCAGUGAGGAAUAUUGCGCAAUGGGCGAAAGCCUGACGCAGCGACGCCGCGUGGGGGACGAAGGCCUUCGGGUUGUAAACCCCUUUCGACCGGAAAGAAACGCCAGUGGGCUAACAUCCCAUUGGUUUGACGGUACCGGGAGAAGAAGCCACGGCUAACUCUGUGCCAGCAGCCGCGGUAAU
rnacentral:rRNA from 1 species